AGAAAUGUGUAUGCAUGGUAAACACUAGCCUGGAUGACAGCCGGACUUAGCCCCGCCCACAACAUUUGAGGUCGAGAAGUUUCGUCUGGACUUGAUCCGUUGUGGAGCAACUAUGCUCCGACCAUAGCUGUUUGGACCAAUCUAAUUAUCAGGGCGGGCUGUUAU